UAUUGGGCUGCAGAGAGAUUUACAUAUCUUUUUGGCACUGAGAACCCUUUCGUAAGAGGCUGCCUGGUGUGGAUUUCGGCCAUGCAAAGAGACAAGUUUUUGUUUUUUUCCCCGACAACAUUGCUUGGAUAGCAAAGCGAAGGUAGAUGUUUAUCGGUAUGAUGGAUUGCCUGGAUGGAACACCAUUUGAAAGAUGCAUUAUCGCCUGGUCCAAAGCCCAUGUGGGUGUGUGAUCAGAUACCGACACAAACCAGAGCGUCUCAGCCUAGUCAGCUGACUAAACAUGCGUUGCUGGGGAGAGCCGCGCACGCAUGAUCAAGCCAACACUCAGCAGGUUUUGAUGCUCCAUAUCACCCCGACACAAGAAGUGGUCCUGCCACCUUGUGUCCUUGUGUUUAAAAAACAACUGCUGAUCAGCUUCCAUUAUUGCUCCACAUCAACCUACAUGAUUUCCAGUGGUUUAUUCCAGUUGUAAAAUAUAAACUCCUUCAGGAUUUUCAGAAGAGUAACAGGCAUUUCAACCGUGAGUUUAAAUAUUUAGCAACAGCCCUCCGGGGCUUUUGAGAGUCUGAAAUGAGAGAAUUUAUAGAGUGUUUUUUGCAAUGACAGAACAGUGGCAGACAGAGCU
ensembl:lncRNA